rnacentral:rRNA from 1 species
UACGUAGGGGCCGAGCGUUGUCCGGAGGUAUUGGGCGUAAAGCGCGCGCAGGCGGCCUCGCGCGCCCGACGUGAAAGCCCCCGGCUUAACCGGGGAGGGUCGUUGGGGACGGCGGGGCUUGAGGGCGGGAGAGGUCGGUGGAAUUCCCGGUGUAGUGGUGAAAUGCGUAGAGAUCGGGAGGAACACCUGUGGCGAAGGCGGCCGACUGGGCCGACCCUGACGCUGAGGCGCGAAGGCGUGGGGAGCGAACGGG